rnacentral:rRNA from 1 species
GGAAGGCAGCAGGCGCGCAAAUUACCCACUCCCGGCCCGGGGAGGUAGUGACGAAAAAUAACGAUACGGGACUCUUUCGAGACCCCGUAAUCGGAAUGAGCACACUCCAAAACGUUUAACGAGUAUCCAUUGGAGGGCAAGUCUGGUGCCAGCCGCUGCGGUAAUUCCAGCUCCAAUAGCGUAUAUUAAAGUUGUUGCGGUUAAAAAGCUCGUAGUUGGAUCUCAGCACGGGACGGGGGGGUCCGCCCACAGGCGUUCCGUCUCCCGCUUUCCCGGGCAUUCGGCCGGUUUCCCCGGGAUGAUCUUCACCGGUCGUCCGGGGUGACCGGCGAGUUUACUUUGAAAAAAUUAGAGUGCUCAGAGCAGGCGCGACGCCUGAAUGAUGGUGCAUGGAAUAAUGGAAUAGGACCUCGGUUCUAUUGUGCUGGUUUUCGGAACCCGAGGUAAUGAUUAAGAGGGACAGACGGGGGCAUUCGUAUUGCGACGCUAGAGGUGAAAUUCUUGGACCGUCGCAAGACGAACCACUGCGAAAGCAUUUGCCAAGAAUGUUUCCAUUAACCAAGAACGAAAGUUAGAGGUUCGAAGGCGAUCAGAUACCGCCCUAGUUCUAACCAUAAACGAUGCCAGCCAGCGAUCCGGCUGUGUUCCUAGAAUGACACGCCGGGCAGCUUCCGGGAAACCAAAGCUUCUGGGUUCC